rnacentral:rRNA from 1 species
CGACCGGCGCACGGGUGAGUAACGCGUAUGCAACCUGCCCGUUUCAGCGGGAUAACCCGGAGAAAUCCGGCCUAAUACCGCAUGUGGCCGAGGGGAGGCAUCUUCUUUCGGCCAAAGGAGGCGACUCCGGAGACGGAUGGGCAUGCGUGACAUUAGCUUGUUGGCGGGGUAACGGCCCACCAAGGCGACGAUGUCUAGGGGUUCUGAGAGGAAGGUCCCCCACAUUGGAACUGAGACACGGUCCAAACUCCUACGGGAGGCAGCAG